rnacentral:lncRNA from 1 species
UUCAGAGGGGACCCUAAAAGGAGAGGGGAAUGGGGGGUUUGGGGACCCCCAAAAAAGGGGUGGGGACCCCCCUGAGCGCCCUUUUUGUCCCCCCAGGACCCCAAAUUGGGGGGGACGAUCGUCUGCGCCUUCUGGAACCCCCGGGAGGGGCGCUGGGACACGGGGGGGUGCCGGGUGGUGCCCCCCAAAAACGGGACCCCCAGGAGGGCACCGUCUGCGCCUGCGAGCACCUGACGAGCUUCGCUGUCCUGCUGGCCUUCAACGAGAUCCAGGAUCACUGGCUGCUGGACCUGGUGACGCGGGUGGCCCUGGCCGUGUCCGUGGUGGCCCUGGGGGUGUCACUGAUGAGCAUCACUGAUGAUGUCACUGAUGAUGUCACUGUCCCCCCAGGAUCACUGGCUGCUGGACCUGGUGACGCUGGGUGGCCCUGGCCUGUCCGGGUGGCCCUGGUGCAUGUGUGGGCGCCCCGUCUGGCUGGGGCUGGUGGCCUGGUGGCCCUGGCCGUGUCCGUUGGCGCUGUAGCGGCCGCCCUUGGCGCCGACGCUGCAGCUGCACCUGAGCCUGAGCCUGCUCGGGGGGCACCUGGCCUUCCUGGGGGGCAUCGACGGGGCGCAGAGCCCGGUGUCCUGCACAGUGACAGCGGUGGCCCUGCACCUGUCGUACCUGUCGGCGUUCUGCUGGAUGGCGCUGCAGGGCGUUCACCUGUACGUGCUGCUGGUGCAGGUGUUCGCCCCGGCCUGGCUGCGCCCGCGGCCGCUCCUGGCCCUGGGCUACGGCCCCGCCGCGGCCAUCGUGGCUGUGUCAGCGGCGGCGUUCCCGCAGGGAUACGGCACUGA